UAUGUGAGCCAACAAGAUUGGCAUGUGGCGGAGAUGACAGUGAGGCAAACUCUCGAGUUUGCUGGUCGUUGUCAAGGUGUUGGAUUCAAAUAUGAUAUGCUUUUGGAGUUAGCAAGAAGAGAAAAGCUUGCAGGAAUUGUACCUGAUGAAGAUCUUGAUAUAUUUAUGAAGUCUUUAGCUCUAGGAGGACAGGAGACAAGCCUCGUUGUGGAGUAUGUUAUGAAGGUAUGUA